UACAAAGGAAUUGACGGGGGCCCGCACAGGCGGUGGAGCAUGUGGUUUAAUUCGAAGCAACGCGAAGAACCUUACCAGGUCUUGACAUCCCGAUGCUAUUUCUAGAGAUAGAAAGUUACUUCGGUACAUCGGUGACAGGUGGUGCAUGGUUGUCGUCAGCUCGUGUCGUGAGAUGUUGGGUUAAGUCCCGCAACGAGCGCAACCCCUAUUGUUAGUUGCCAUCAUUCAGUUGGGCACUCUAGCGAGACUGCCGGUAAUAAACCGGAGGAAGGUGGGGACGACGUCAAAUCAUCAUGCCCCUUAUGACCUGGGCUACACACGUGCUACAAUGGUUGGUACAACGAGUUGCGAGUCGGUGACGGCGAGCUAAUCUCUUAAAGCCAAUCUCAGUUCGGAUUGUAGGCUGCAACUCGCCUACAUGAAGUCGGAAUCGCUAGUAAUCGCGGAUCAGCACGCCGCGGUGAAUACGUUCCCGGGCCUU
rnacentral:rRNA from 1 species